GUGGGGAAUUUUGGACAAUGGGCGCAAGCCUGAUCCAGCAAUGCCGCGUGCAGGAAGAAGGCCUUCGGGUUGUAAACUGCUUUUGUACGGAACGAAACGGUCCGGGUUAAUACCCUGGGCUAAUGACGGUACCGUAAGAAUAAGCACCGGCUAACUACGUGCCAGCAGCCGCGGUAAUACGUAGGGUGCAAGCGUUAAUCGGAAUUACUGGGCGUAAAGCGUGCGCAGGCGGUUUUGUAAGACAGGCGUGAAAUCCCCGGGCUCAACCUGGGAAUUGCGCUUGUGACUGCAAGGCUGGAGUGCGGCAGAGGGGGAUGGAAUUCCGCGUGUAGCAGUGAAAUGCGUAGAUAUGCGGAGGAACACCGAUGGCGAAGGCAAUCCCCUGGACCUGUACUGACGCUCAUGCACGAAAGCGUGGGGAGCAAACAGGAUUAGAAACCCUGGUAGUCC
rnacentral:rRNA from 1 species